rnacentral:rRNA from 1 species
AUACGUAGGUGGCAAGCGUUGUCCGGAUUUAUUGGGCGUAAAGCGAGCGCAGGCGGUUUCUUAAGUCUGAUGUGAAAGCCCCCGGCUCAACCGGGGAGGGUCAUUGGAAACUGGGAGACUUGAGUGCAGAAGAGGAGAGUGGAAUUCCAUGUGUAGCGAUGAAAUGCGUAGAUAUAUGGAGGAACACCAGUGGCGAAGGCGGCUCUCUGGUCUGUAACUGACGCUGAGGCUCGAAAGCGUGGGGAGCAAACAGGAUUAGAUACCCUGGUAGUCCACGCCGUAAACGAUGAGUGCUAAGUGUUGGAGGGUUUCCGCCCUUCAGUGCUGCAGCAAACGCAUUAAGCACUCCGCCUGGGGAGUACGACCGCAAGGUUGAAACUCAAAUGAAUUGGCGGGG